GAUGAACGCUCGCGAUAGGCUUAACACAUGCAAGUCGAGGGGCAGCAUGGUCUUAGCUUGCUAAGACUGAUGGCGACCGGCGCACGGGUGCGUAACGCGUAUGCAACUUGCCUCACAGAGGGGGAUAACCCGUCGAAAGACGGACUAAUACCGCAUACACUUGGGAUAGGGCAUCCUGACCCAAGGAAAUGAAAUUCGCUGUGAGAUAGGCAUGCGUCCCAUUAGCUAGUUGGUGAGGUAACGGCUCACCAAGGCGACGAUGGGUAGGGGAACUGAGAGGUUGAACCCCCACACUGGUACUGAGACACGGACCAGACUCCUACGGGAGGCAGCAGUGAGGAAUAUUGGUCAAUGGGCGAGAGCCUGAACCAGCCAAGUCGCGUGAAGGAUGACUGUCUUAUGGAUUGUAAACUUCUUUUAUACGGGAAUAACAAGAGCCACGUGUGGCUCCCUGCAUGUACCGUAUGAAUAAGCAUCGGCUAACUCCGUG
rnacentral:rRNA from 1 species